rnacentral:rRNA from 1 species
GUCUAUGGCCAUACCACCCUGAACGUGACUGAUCUCGGAAGCGAAGCAGGGACAGGCCUGGUUAGUAUUUGAAUGGGAAACCGCCUGGGAAUACCGGGUGCUGUAGGCU